rnacentral:lncRNA from 1 species
GGCGCUUUAAUGGUCGGCUUGGAGGGCUUCUUGGACUUCUUCAGUAAAGCCGCCUUAUCCGCGCGGCUCAUCUUCAGCGCCCCUUUUUGUGUGGUCGGGGGCUCGGGCCCCGAAGUGGACCCCAGUGACAGCUCGCUGAUCGGGACCGUAUCCUCCUCAGGAGCAUCGUCAGUCACUGGGGGUCGGAUGAACCCGAUUGUGAUGGUGGUAGGGAUGAAGGCGUCGACAACGCCCUCUGGCUUGAAAAUGGUCACUGCACGGGGACAAAUGGGUUAAGGCAUUGAAAGCUUCAGAAAAUAGGAGGAAAAAUAAUGAAAAACGGAAGGAUACUCACAGCCGUGUUUGUACAACCAGGCUUCAUUCAUCAGAAGCCCCAGAUUCCAUUGGGUCUUUUGCCAUUGCUUGUAGAACGUCUUGAAAGCAUCAG